rnacentral:rRNA from 1 species
AUUACCUCAGUAACGGCGAGUGAAGCGGUAACAGCUCAAAUUUGAAAUCUGGCCUCACGGUCCGAGUUGUAAUUUGUAGAGGAUGCUUCGAGCAUGGUCUGGCCUAAGUUCCUUGGAACAGGACGUCAUAGAGGGUGAGAAUCCCGUAUGCGGCCAGGUGCCUACGCUCAUGUGAAGCUCCUUCGACGAGUCGAGUUGUUUGGGAAUGCAGCUCAAAAUGGGUGGUAAAUUUCAUCUAAAGCUAAAUAUUGGCCAGAGACCGAUAGCGCACAAGUAGAGUGAUCGAAAGAUGAAAAGCACUUUGGAAAGAGAGUUAAACAGUACGUGAAAUUGUUGAAAGGGAAGCGCUUGCAACCAGACUUGCGCGCGGCCGAUCAUCCGGUGUUCUCACCGGUGCACUCGGCCGUGCUCAGGCCAGCAUCGGUUUUGGCGGCUGGAUAAAGGCCCUAGGAAUGUAGCUCCUCUCGGGGAGUGUUAUAGCCUAGGGUGCAAUGCAGCCUGCUGGGACCGAGGACCGCGCUUCGGCUAGGAUGCUGGCGUAAUGGUUGUAAGCGGCCCGUCUUGAAACACGGACCAAGGAGUCUAACAUCUAUGCGAGUGUUUGGGUGUCAAACCCAUACGCGUAAUGAAAGUGAACGGAGGUGAGAACCCUUAAGGGUGCAUCAUCGACCGGUCCUGAAGUUUACGGAAGGAUCUGAGUAAGAGCAUAGCUGUUGGGACCCGAAAGAUGGUGAACUAUGCCUGAAUAGGGUGAAGCCAGAGGAAACUCUGGUGGAGGCUCGCAGCGGUUCUGACGUGCAAAUCGAUCGUCAAAUUUGGGUAUAGGGGCGAAAGACUAAUCGAACCAUCUAGUAGCUGGUUCCUGCCGAAGUUUCCCUCAGGAUAGCAGUGUUGAAUUCAGUUUUAUGA